UGUCAAGCUGCAAAGGGCUCACGGU
rnacentral:rRNA from 1 species